CCGGGGGGACGGAGAAGGUUAGCUCAGCCGGGUGUUGGACGUCCCGGUUUAAGCGUGUAGGCGUGCUGCAUAGGCAAAUCCGUGCGGCUUAGCUGAGGCGUGAUGACGAGGAUCUUCGGAUCUGAAGUGAGUGAUACCCAGCUUCCAGGAAAAGCCUCUAAGCUUCAGUUACAGAUUGACCGUACCGCAAACCGGCACAGGUGGGCAGGAUGAAAAUUCUAAGGCGCUUGAGAGAACUCAGGAGAAGGAACUCGGCAAAUUGAUACCGUAACUUCGGGAGAAGGUAUGCCUCGGUAGCGUGAAGCCCCUGCGGGUGGAGCGUGAUGAGGUCGCAGAGAAUCGGUGGCUGCAACUGUUUAAUAAAAACACAGCACUCUGCAAAGGCGAAAGCCGACGUAUAGGGUGUGACGCCUGCCCGGUGCCGGAAGGUUAAGUGAUGGGGUGCAAGCUCUUGAUCGAAGCCCCGGUAAACGGCGGCCGUAACAAUAACGGUCCUAAGGUAGCGAAAUUCCUUGUCGGGUAAGUUCCGACCUGCACGAAUGGCGUAAUGAUGGCCACACUGUCUCCUCCUGAGACUCAGCGAAGUUGAAAUGUUUGUGAAUAUGCAAUCUACCCGCGGCUAGACGGAAAGACCCCAUGAACCUUUACUGUAGCUUUGCAUUGGACUUUGACGGGACUUGUGUAGGAUAGGUGGGAGGCUGUGAGGCGUGGUCGCCAGAUCGCGCGGAGCCAACCUUGAAAUACCACCCUGGUGUCGUUGAGGUUCUAACCUUGGUCCGUGAAUCCGGAUCGGGGACCGUGCAUGGCAGGCAGUUUGACUGGGGCGGUCUCCUCCCAAAGAGUAACGGAGGAGUACGAAGGUCUUCUAAGCACGGUCGGACAUCGUGCUCAUAGUGCAAUGGCAAAAGAAGGCUUGACUGCGAGUCCAACAAGACGAGCAGGUGCGAAAGCAGGUCAUAGUGAUCCGGUGGUUCUGUAUGGAAGGGCCAUCGCUCAACGGAUAAAAGGUACUCUGGGGAUAACAGGCUGAUUCCGCCCAAGAGUUCAUAUCGACGGCGGAGUUUGGCACCUCGAUGUCGGCUCAUCACAUCCUGGGGCUGUAGCCGGUCCCAAGGGUAUGGCUGUUCGCCAUUUAAAGUGGUACGUGAGCUGGGUUUAAAACGUCGUGAGACAGUUUGGUCCCUAUCUGCCGUGGGCGCUGGAAAUUUGAGGGGGCCUGCUCCUAGUACGAGAGGACCGGAGUGGACGGAUCUCUGGUGUACCGGUUGUCACGCCAGUGGCAUCGCCGGGUAGCUAAAUCCGGAAGAGAUAAACGCUGAAAGCAUCUAAGCGUGAAACUCGCCUCAAGAUGAGAUUUCCCGGGGGUUCAACCCCCCUGAAGGGUC
rnacentral:rRNA from 1 species